UUUCUGAAGAAGAAGACUUUUCGGGAAAUUUGGAUGAUGAUUUCACGUAUGAUAGUUAUGCGAAUGAUUCGUAUGGAAUUGCUGAAACAC
rnacentral:RNase_MRP_RNA from 1 species